UGAGUCGGCCGAGGUGGCCGCGGGUGCCCUUCGAGGCAUUCGAGGAAGGUCGGGACUCCACAGGGCAGGGUGCUGGCGUGAGGCCAGGCGCCGCGAGGCGACGGAAAGUGCAACAGAGAGCAAACCGCCGAUGGGUCGGGCUGAUGGUUCGCCACCAGGCCGAUCACAGGCAAGGGUGAAACGGUGCGGUAAGAGCGCACCAGCGACCUGGGCGACCAGGCGGCUAGGUAAACCCCACCCGGAGCAAGGUCGAGCAGGAAUCGGGCGGCCCGUCCCACGAUUCCGGGUAGACCGCAUAGAUGGAUGGCCACCCAAGCGGCUCGUGCCGCCGGACAGAAUCCCGCCUAUGUGGCCGGCUCACCGU
rnacentral:RNase_P_RNA from 1 species